AAUGGGGACAGACCCUA
rnacentral:misc_RNA from 1 species